UCUCUCUUCUUGGUCUCCUCCUCCAUAUAUAAACUUCCGUUUCCCGGCGAAUUGAGAAAGGAGAGAACAGAACUCCAUAGCCUUCCCUUCCCCUUCCCCAAGCCCCCAGAAGCGAAAAUUCCCUUUCGCCGAGAAAGAUCGAGCCCCAAGAGAUUGAUUCGAUCCCUGGAGAGGGAUUCUUCUUCGUCUGUCGUCCUGUCAAUCUCUCUUGCUUGCUUGCUGGGUUGGUUGUGUGGUGAAGCUCGAGUCUUGAGAGCUUCGUCUGUCCGGUAAUGGUGUGUACUGCCGAGGGCUCGGGGGAGCGAGACAUCAGUGAGCGAGCGGCGGCUUCGAUGGCCAUGGGCCCCGAGAGAUCGCGGCCCCUCCACAACUUCUCCCUCCCCCGCCUCAAGUGGGGCCGCCAGCUCCACAUGCGCUGCGUGAAGAUCGACUCCCUCGCCGGCUUCCGAGCCCCCUGGACGGCGCUGGGGCCUGACAUCUCCCCGACGCGGUCGGUCUCCGGGGAGGAGCGGCGGAGGGCUGGGGAUGCCGUGGUUCCGAAGUUGGGGAUCGGUGGGGUGAUCGACUGCGACAGCGAGAUCAGGGAGGUGAGGGAGAAGUACUUGAGUGAUCUGAAGGAGGAGAUUUGCAAGAUGACGGACAGCUACCUCCGUCAGGGAGCGGUCUCCGGCGAGGCGGCGGACCAGGGCAAAGAGGACAACCUGGUUAGGCCGUGGAAUCUGAGGACGAGGAGGGCCGCUUGUAAGGCACCGUUCGGUGGGCCCGACGGAGGGAAAGCUGGGGCUACUCCCUCCCCGCAGAGGAGCGAGGGCGGCAACAGCAACGGCAACGGCUUCAUGCUGAAGACGGGGCUGAGGAGUGGGGUGGAGAAGAAGAGGGAGGAGCGGGCCAAGUUCUUCCCGACGCUGAAGAGGAAGGAGGUGGAGGACGACUUCAUGAUGAUGACGGGUCAUCGGCCUCCGAGGAAGCCCAAGAAGCGGCCGAGGGCUGUUCAGAAGCAACUGGAUAUGCUGGUACCUGGUUUAUGGUUGACGGAGGUGACUGUGGAUUCAUACAAGGUUCCUGAGAUUCCCGACAAUGCUAAGAGGUAGUCGAUGGAGUCGCUGCAUACAUUAGGAUUACUGGAGGUUUCUUCUAGCUGACUGCUGGCAAUCAUGAGACUGUUUGUACUGCUACAUCAGAAGCUUGUGCUCUUCUGAUCUGCUGGAUAGGGCCAAACUCUGGUUAUUCAUGGCUCUCUUUGCUCAACGACUGGGUUUGAUUUCAGCGUCAAACCAGAGCUCACUCGUGCUAAAUAAUACGUACGGCUCUCCUCUUUCUGCUAUUGGUACAUUUUGCCUUCUGCUGGAAUCGAGUUUAGAAAGUUGAACAAGUAGCCAAAUAGUUGUGCAGUCAAUUGAUACUAAAAUCCUUCAGUGUAACUAGCUUGCACUUUCACUA